rnacentral:piRNA from 2 species
UGUGCAGGCAAACUGGUGGAGAUGUGAA